rnacentral:tRNA from 1 species
GGGCAAGUAGCCGAAUUGGUAUAGGCGCCAGUCUUAGGAACUGGUUCCGAAAGGAGUGAGGGUUCGAGUCCCUCCUUGCCCA